rnacentral:rRNA from 1 species
GCAAAACGCGAAGAACCUUACCAGGCCUUGACAUGCAGAGAACUUUCCAGAGAUGGAUUGGUGCCUUCGGGAACGUCUGACACAGGUGCUGCAUGGCUGUCGUCAGCUCGUGUCGUGAGAUGUUGGGUUAAGUCCCGUAACGAGCGCAACCCUUGUCCUUAGUUACCAGCACGUUAUGGUGGGCACUCUAAGGAGACUGCCGGUGACAAACCGGAGGAAGGUGGGAUGACGUCAAGUCAUCAUGGCCCUUACGGCCUGGGCUACACACGUGCUACAAUGGUCGGUACAGAGGGUUGCCAAGCCGCGAGGUGGAGCUAAUCUCACAAAACCGAUCGUAGUCCGGAUCGCAGUCUGCAACUCGACUGCGUGAAGUCGGAAUCGCUAGUAAUCGCG